GCAUUCAUGGUUAAAUGGCUAGAGCGCUCAACUUAUAAAUAACGAAUUUAUAAGUUCAAUUUUUAUUGGAUACA
rfam:Gossypium raimondii chromosome 6, whole genome shotgun sequence.